rnacentral:piRNA from 1 species
UGGGCUGGAGGAAGAGCAUCUUACGGUGUA